AAAUAUUGAAUGAGUUGGACUGUGGGUUUAGCUGUAAGAGCUGUGAGAGACUCCUUUACCCUGCCAGCCUAAUAAUGAUAAUAUAUUAUAUGUCAUUUAGCAGACACUUUUAUACAAGAACAACUUACGGCAGUGUGUGUAUACAGUACAUUCUGGUAUGGGUGUGGCCCCAGCGUGAAUAGAGCAACCGGUCUAAGCAUUGCAAGGGCCAUGCUCUACCAACUGAGCCACACAGGACCACAGGCCUCUGGUUUCUCCCACUAAACCAAGACUGACAUGAGGCUGAUCAGACCUUCAUUAGGGAGGCAUUUUCUCCCUGUGAUUUCUAUUGAUGUGUCGGGGAGAAAAGACAAAUUGAGCCGCCGCCUGACCAGAGUACCAAUCGUUUCAGAAAAAGACAAUAAACGUCAUUGUAUUUCACUCUCUCUCUCUCUCUCUCCCUUACUUUUCCUAUCAUGCCUCUCCUUCUUCUGUAUCCUUACUUUUCCCAUCAUGCCUCUCCUUCUGUAUCCUUACUUUUCCCAUCAUGCCUCUCCUUCUGUAUCCUUACUUUUCCUAUCAUGCCUCUCCUUCUUCUGUAUCCUUACUUUUCCUAUCAUGCCUCUCCUUCUGUAUCCUUACUUUUCCCAUCAUGCCUCUCCUUCUGUAUCCUUACUUUUCCCAUCAUGCCUCUCCUUCUGUAUCCUUACUUUUCCCAUCAUGCCUCUCCUUCUGUAUCCUUACUUUUCCUAUCAUGCCUCUCCUUCUUCUGUAUCCUUACUUUUCCUAUCAUGCCUCUCCUUCUGUAUCCUUACUUUUCCCAUCAUGCCUCUCCUUCUGUAUCCUUACUUUUCCCAUCAUGCCUCUCCUUCUGUAUCCUUACUUUUCCUAUCAUGCCUCUCCUUCUGUAUCCUUACUUUUCCUAUCAUGCCUCUCCUUCUUCUGUAUCCUUACUUUUCCCAUCAUGCCUCUCCUUCUGUAUCCUUACUUUUCCCAUCAUGCCUCUCCUUCUUCUGUAUCCUUACUUUUCCUAUCAUGCCUCUCCUUCUUCUGUAUCCUUACUUUUCCUAUCAUGCCUCUCCUUCUGUAUCCUUACUUUUCCUAUCAUGCCUCUCCUUCUGUAUCCUUACUUUUCCUAUCAUGCCUCUCCUUCUUCUGUAUCCUUACUUUUCCUAUCAUGCCUCUCCUUCUGUAUCCUUACUUUUCCCAUCAUGCCUCUCCUUCUUCUGUAUCCUUACUUUUCCCAUCAUGCCUCUCCUUCUUCUGUAUCCUUACUUUUCCCAUCAUGCCUCUCCUUCUUCUGUAUCCUUACUUUUCCUAUCAUGCCUCUCCUUCUUCUGUAUCCUUACUUUUCCUAUCAUGCCUCUCCUUCUGUAUCCUUACUUUCCUAUCAUGCCUCUCCUUCUUCUGUAUCCUUACUUUUCCUAUCAUGCCUCUCCUUCUGUAUCCUUACUUUUCCCAUCAUGCCUCUCCUUCUUCUGUAUCCUUACUUUUCCCAUCAUGCCUCUCCUUCUUCUGUAUCCUUACUUUUCCCAUCAUGCCUCUCCUUCUUCUGUAUCCUUACUUUUCCCAUCAUGCCUCUCCUUCUGUAUCCUUACUUUUCCCAUCAUGCCUCUCCUUCUUCUGUAUCCUUACUUUUCCCAUCAUGCCUCUCCUUCUUCUGUAUCCUUACUUUUCCCAUCAUGCCUCUCCUUCUGUAUCCUUACUUUUCCCAUCAUGCCUCUCCUUCUUCUGUAUCCUUACUUUUCCCAUCAUGCCUCUUCUUCUGUAUCCUUACUUUUCCCAUCAUGCCUCUCCUUCUUCUGUAUCCUUACUUUUCCCAUCAUGCCUCUCCUUCUUCUGUAUCCUUACUUUUCCCAUCAUGCCUCUCCUUCUGUAUCCUUACUUUUCCCAUCAUGCCUCUCCUUCUUCUGUAUCCUUACUUUUCCCAUCAUGCCUCUCCUUCUUCUGUAUCCUUACUUUUCCUAUCAUGCCUCUCCUUCUGUAUCCUUACUUUUCCUAUCAUGCCUCUCCUUCUUCUGUAUCCUUACUUUUCCUAUCAUGCCUCUCCUUCUGUAUCCUUACUUUUCCCAUCAUGCCUCUCCUUCUGUAUCCUUACUUUUCCUAUCAUGCCUCUCCUUCUGUAUCCUUACUUUUCCUAUCAUGCCUCUCCUUCUGUAUCCUUACUUUUCCCAUCAUGCCUCUCCUUCUGUAUCCUUACUUUUCCUAUCAUGCCUCUUCUUCUGUAUCCUUACUUUUCCCAUCAUGCCUCUCCUUCUUCUGUAUCCUUACUUUUCCCAUCAUGCCUCUCCUUCUUCUGUAUCCUUACUUUUCCUAUCAUGCCUCUCCUUCUUCUGUAUCCUUACUUUUCCUAUCAUGCCUCUCCUUCUGUAUCCUUACUUUUCCUAUCAUGCCUCUCCUUCUGUAUCCUUACUUUUCCUAUCAUGCCUCUCCUUCUGUAUCCUUACUUUUCCUAUCAUGCCUCUCCUUCUGUAUCCUUACUUUUCCCAUCAUGCCUCUCCUUCUGUAUCCUUACUUUUCCUAUCAUGCCUCUCCUUCUUCUGUAUCCUUACUUUUCCUAUCAUGCCUCUCCUUCUGUAUCCUUACUUUUCCCAUCAUGCCUCUCCUUCUGUAUCCUUACUUUUCCUAUCAUGCCUCUCCUUCUUCUGUAUCCUUACUUUUCCCAUCAUGCCUCUCCUUCUGUAUCCUUACUUUUCCCAUCAUGCCUCUCCUUCUGUAUCCUUACUUUUCCCAUCAUGCCUCUCCUUCUGUAUCCUUACUUUUCCCAUCAUGCCUCUCCUUCUUCUGUAUCCUUACUUUUCCUAUCAUGCCUCUCCUUCUGUAUCCUUACUUUUCCUAUCAUGCCUCUCCUUCUUCUGUAUCCUUACUUUUCCUAUCAUGCCUCUCCUUCUGUAUCCUUACUUUUCCCAUCAUGCCUCUCCUUCUGUAUCCUUACUUUUCCUAUCAUGCCUCUCCUUCUGUAUCCUUACUUUUCCUAUCAUGCCUCUCCUUCUGUAUCCUUACUUUUCCCAUCAUGCCUCUCCUUCUGUAUCCUUACUUUCCUAUCAUGCCUCUUCUUCUGUAUCCUUACUUUUCCCAUCAUGCCUCUCCUUCUUCUGUAUCCUUACUUUUCCCAUCAUGCCUCUCCUUCUUCUGUAUCCUUACUUUUCCUAUCAUGCCUCUCCUUCUUCUGUAUCCUUACUUUUCCUAUCAUGCCUCUCCUUCUUCUGUAUCCUUACUUUUCCUAUCAUGCCUCUCCUUCUUCUGUAUCCUUACUUUUCCUAUCAUGCCUCUCCUUCUGUAUCCUUACUUUUCCUAUCAUGCCUCUCCUUCUGUAUCCUUACUUUUCCUAUCAUGCCUCUCCUUCUGUAUCCUUACUUUUCCCAUCAUGCCUCUCCUUCUGUAUCCUUACUUUUCCUAUCAUGCCUCUCCUUCUUCUGUAUCCUUACUUUUCCUAUCAUGCCUCUCCUUCUGUAUCCUUACUUUUCCCAUCAUGCCUCUCCUUCUGUAUCCUUACUUUUCCUAUCAUGCCUCUCCUUCUUCUGUAUCCUUACUUUUCCCAUCAUGCCUCUCCUUCUGUAUCCUUACUUUUCCCAUCAUGCCUCUCCUUCUGUAUCCUUACUUUUCCCAUCAUGCCUCUCCUUCUGUAUCCUUACUUUUCCUAUCAUGCCUCUCCUUCUUCUGUAUCCUUACUUUUCCCAUCAUGCCUCUCCUUCCCUCUUCUUUGCCGCUCUUCUUCUUUCAUUUUCCUUCCCCUUCUCUGUCAUUUACUUUCCUCCCUACUUCUCCCACCCUCCCCUGCUUUUCUCCCUCUACACCUUUCUUCCUGUAUGUGUGAGUUUGGCCUGCCUGCCUGGCUGUCUGCCUGCCUGGCUGUCUGUCUGCCUGCCUGGCUGUCUGUUUGAGCAGAAGUGAGGUGAGUGUUCUAGGUGGGCUUGGGAGAGGAGAGCAGCAUUAGUGUUUCUGCUUGCCUGUGCAAUAGAAUACAAUGCAGAUGGGAGGUGAAAAGCUCCCCAGUGACAAAGCCUCAAGGUGGGGGCCUGGGGGGGCCGUCACUCCUCUCCUCUGUGAUUGCCGUGGCGGGCAGGGCGGGCGGGGAUGGAGUGGGGCAGGGCUCUGACAAAGUGCAGGGAUUGAUGGAUGGACAGAGGCAGGGAGUGGAUGAGAGGAUGGAUGAGGGCAGAGGGGGAGUUUAACACUGGCAAACACAGAGAGACAGAGAGGAAUGACCUGCUUGGCUUUGCAGCCACUCACAGUCCCACAGCAAUUUAGCCCUGCUAUGGCUACUGGGCGAUUCCAUGCCAGCAUAGCCCCAAAACUAUUUUUGGUAUCUCCAAUUGUUCUGGCAAUUCUCACAUAGAAACUUCAUUGGGAGAAAGGAUGUUUGACAUGCUUUUUACAUUAUUAUCACAAACCAUUUACGAGAAAAUCAUGAUGAAAGUGGCCAUUUUAGGCCCUUUUUAGACCUAUAAAAGCCUCCUGUAAGACCUUAUGAUUUGUGAACCGUACAUGAUACAGACAACACCUUGUUGUCAUUAUACUCCUUAUAGUGGGCUCUAUCAUAUGGAGUAUGUCUACAUUCUGAAAUAAAACAUUUCAUAUUCAACAGUAAAACUAGGAAAAUGAAUAUCUCAUCCUUUAGA
ensembl:lncRNA